GACAACUUUUGACGGUGGAUCUCUUGGCUCACGUAUCGAUGAAGAACGCAGCCAGCUGCGGUAUGUAGUGUGAAUUGCAGAAUUCAGUGAAUCAUUGAAUCUUUGAACGCAAAUGGCGCUCUUGGGUUCUCCCAGGAGCAUGUCUGUCUGAGUGUCGGAUUUUAUGGAA
rnacentral:rRNA from 1 species